rnacentral:rRNA from 1 species
AGUGGAUGGGGAGCAACCUAGUUGUGCGUGUGUAAAGGUAGUGCCAAGAAAAGCGGUGAUCAUGAUGAAAAUCAAUUCCGGUACCCGAAACCGACACAGGUGGGCAAGUAGAGAAUACUAAGGGGCGCGAGGUAACUCUCUCCAAGGAACUCGGCAAAAUGACCCCGUAACUUAGGGAGAAGGGGUGCCACCGAGAGGUGGUCGCAGUGAAGAGGCCCAGGCGACUGUUUAGCAAAAACAUAGGUCUCUGCAAACUCGAAAGAGGAGGUAUAGGGGCUGACGCCUGCCCAGUGCCGGAAGGUUAAAGAAGUUGGUCAGUCUUAGGAUGAAGCUAGCGACUGAAGCCCCGGUGAACGGCGGCCGUAACUAUAACGGUCCUAAGGUAGCGAAAUUCCUUGACGGGUAAGUUCCGACCCGCACGAAAGGCGUAACGAUCUGGGCGCUGUCUCGGAGAGAGGCUCGGCGAAAUAGGAUUGUCUGUGAAGAUACGGACUACCUGCAUUUGGACAGAAAGACCCUAUGAAGCUUUACUAUAGCUUGGAAUUGUGUUCGGGCUUCCUGUGCGCAGGAUAGGUGGGAGGCGUAGAAGGUAUUCUUGUGGGGAUACUGGAGCCAACGAUGAGAUACCACUCUCAGGAGGCUAGAAUUCUAACUUAAUUAAGGACAGUUUCAGGUGGGUAGUUUGACUGGGGCGGUCGCCUCCAAAAAGGUAACGGAGGCGUACAAAGGUUCCCUCAGACUGGUUGGAAAUCAGUCGAAGAGUGCAAAGGCAGAAGGGAGCUUGACUGCGAGAAGUACAGUUCGAGCAGGGUGGAAACACGGUCUUAGUGAUCCGACGGUGCUGUGUGGAAGGGCCGUCGUUCAACGGAUAAAAGUUACUCUAAGGAUAACAGGCUGAUCUCCCCCAAGAGUUCACAUCGACGGGGAGGUUUGGCACCUCGAUGUCGGCUCAUCGCAACCCGGGGUGGAAGUACGUCCCAAGGGUUGGGCUGUUCGCCCAUUAAAGCGGUACGUGAGCUGGGUUCAGAACGUCGUGAGACAGUUCGGUCCAUAUCCGAUGUAGGCGUGAGAAUAUUGAGAGGAGCCUUCCUUAGUACGAGAGGACCGGGAAGGACGCACCGCUGGUGUACCUGUUAUGAUGCCAAUUGUAAACGCAGGGUAGCCAAGUGCGGAGAGGAUAACCGCUGAAAGCAUCUAAGUGGGAAGCCCACCUCAAGAUGAGUAUUCUGGUGUAAGGUCACGGGAAGACGACCCGUAAAUAGGCACGAGGUGGAAGUGCAGAGAUGUAUGAAGCCGAAGUGUACUAAUAGACCGUCGGCUUGAC